rnacentral:rRNA from 1 species
UACAGAGGGUGCAAGCGUUAAUCGGAAUUACUGGGCGUAAAGCGUGCGUAGACGGUUAUGUAAGUCAGAUGUGAAAGCCCCGGGCUUAACCUGGGAAUGGCAUUUGAGACUGCAUAGCUAGGGUGCGGAAGAGGGAAGCGGAAUUUCCGGUGUAGCGGUGAAUGCGUAGAUAUACGGAAGGAACACCAGUGGCGAAAGCGGCUCCUGGUCCAGCACCGACGUCAGGCACGAAAGCGUGGGGAGCAAACAGG